rnacentral:rRNA from 1 species
UACGUAGGUGGCGAGUGUUAUUCGGAUUUACUGGGCGUAAAGGGUUCGUAGGGGGUUUGCUAAGUCCGGUGUGAAAGCCCACGGCUCAACCGUGGAACUGCACUGGAUACUGGCAGACUAGAGGGUCGGAGAGGAGAGUGGAAUACCUGGUGUAGCGGUGGAAUGCGUAGAUAUCAGGUGGAACACCGAUGGCGAAGGCAGCUCUCUGGACGAUACCUGACCCUGAAGAACGAAAGUUGGGGUAGCAAACAGG